rfam:Aedes aegypti strain Liverpool supercont1.552 genomic scaffold, whole genome shotgun sequence.
CAAUCAGCCCUUUUCAGGGCCACCAAGAGUUUUCUAAUAAGUUGUUU